GACCACUUAGCUCAGCUGGCUAGAGCGUCACGUUGACAUCGUGAAGGUCGGAGGUUCAAGUCCUCCAGUGGUCA
rnacentral:tRNA from 1 species